rnacentral:rRNA from 1 species
CUCUUGACAUCCCGGUGACGGCAGAGUAAUGUGCGCUUUUCUUCGGACCACCGGUGACAGGUGGUGCAUGGUUGUCGUCAGCUCGUGUCGUGAGAUGUUGGGUUAAGUCCCGCAACGAGGCCAACCCCUAUCUUCAGUAGCCACCGGUAAGGCCGGGCACUCUGGAGAGACUGCCAGGGAUAACCUGGAGGAAGGUGGGGAUGACGUCAAAUCAUCAUGCCCCUUAUGAGCAGGGCUACACACGUGCUACAAUGGCGUAAACAAAGGGAAGCGAACCCGCGAGGGUGGGCAAAUCCCAAAAAUAACGUCUCAGUUCGGAUUGUAGUCUGCAACUCGA